GAUGAAGAACGUAGCGAAAUGCGAUAAGUAAUGUGAAUUGCAGAAUUCAGUGAAUCAUCGAAUCUUUGAACGCACAUUGCGCCCGCCAGCAUUCUGGCGGGCAUGCCUGUUCGAGCGUCAUUUCAACCCUCGAGCCCCCCCGGGGGCCUCGGUGUUGGGGGACGGCACACCAGCCGCCCCCGAAAUGCAGUGGCGACCCCGCCGCAGCCUCCCUGCGUAGUAGCACACACCUCGCACCGGAGCGCGGAGGCGGUCACGCCGUAAAACGCCCAACUUUCUUAGAGUUGACCUCGGAUCAGGUAGGAAUACCCGCUGAACUUAAGCAUAUCAAUAAGCGGAGGA
rnacentral:misc_RNA from 1 species